UGCCAGCCGCCGCGGUAAUACGGAGGGUGCGAGCGUUAAUCGGAAUUACUGGGCGUAAAGCGCACGCAGGCGGUUUGUUAAGCUAGAUGUGAAAGCCCCGGGCUCAACCUGGGAUGGUCAUUUAGAACUGGCAGACUAGAGUCUUGGAGAGGGGAGUGGAAUUCCAGGUGUAGCGGUGAAAUGCGUAGAUAUCUGGGAGAAGGCCAAAGGCGAAGGCAGCUUUCUGGCGAGUGACUGACACUGAGGAACGAAAGUUAGGGAAUCGAACGGGAUUAGAUA
rnacentral:rRNA from 1 species